ACAAGAAUAAGGAUAUUGUGAAAACUGUCUAUCAAAAAGAUAAGUUGAAAAGUUGAAAACGGGAUUGCCUCCUUUUCCUUUGGUUCGUUCUUUACUGAUAUUAUUAAAACGCUUCCCCCUUUUCAACCUCUCCUUAGUAUAAAUAUUAGAGGACGGAGUAGACUGCCCCGAGCUAAUUAUUCGAAAGUAACGCUUUUUUUCAGAAUUGUAAUAAUAACCGGGAAUAUGAAAUGGUAGUCCGCUCAUAACCCAGGGAUUGAUGGUAAGCAAAAGAAAUUAAAAACAAAAAAGGUUUUGUUAAAAUGUUGUCGUUA